AAGAGCACCAGUAACCGGUGCCCCUUUAUUUUUAAUUUCUAAAACACACAUUCUUUCCCAAUUUAGUAACCACGCACUCACUCAGUCAUUCUCCUUUCUCUCUCCUCUCAUUCCCACUUUCUUUCUCCUUUCUCUCCUCUAUCACUCCACCGCCACUCCUUAGCUUCCCCACCACCACUCCUUAGCUUCCACCACCCCCCUUUCACCGCCAGCCCACUUUAUCUCUCCAUUUCUUCUCUCUGUCAGCUCUCGUUCUCCUUCUCCUUCAAAAAUCGGCGUCAAUUCAAACCAAAUACAACCAUCGUCGUCGCCGCCGCCUAUUUCUUAAAUCAACAAUAAUGGAGGUUAGGGUUUGUGGGUGCUUUUAUUUCGAAUCAGUUGGAUGUUCGUGCUUCUUCAACAACAACAAAUACAAAUCAAUUUCGAACAAAAAAUCAGAAAUUUGAGUUGAAUUUGGGAUGUCCAUGGAGCUAACUUUGUCAAAGUUGACCAGGAGACUUUUCGAUCUCAUCCUUCUAUCCCCUUUUCUCUUUACUCUCAAUUUAAUUGUUUAAUUUCUGGAUUAGCUGUUUUUUUUCAUUAUUUAUUGAUUGGAUGAAAUAGUUGUUUUUUUUGGGGGGUUUUAACUUAAAUUUUAAUAUGCUUAGGGUUGAUGUUAUGGAAGACUUGAAAGUGUUGUGUUCUGAAGAAUUUCUGAUUUGGAUAUUGAAAUUUGACUGUGGUGGAUAUUGGAUUAUGAGCCAGCAAUUUCAGUCUAGUGAUUUGCCUAAUUCUUGUAUUCAACCUGAUCGUCAUUGGUUUGUGCACCCCUGCUGCUGUUACUUUUGCUCUACUAUAGCUGCUGCUUUUUCUCUGCCGAGAUUGGGGGCAGGUGUGGCUUUAAGCCUAUGUUUUUAUAUUAAUUUAUACUUGUUACCUGCAACUAUGGGUUUAAUAUCUUCUGGAAAUGAUGAUUUUGUUUGGGAGUAUUCUUGCUGAAGCCAUUGACAAGAUUGGGGCUGAUGGUGUCAUCUCUAUUGAGUCGUUCUCAACCUCUGAAACUUACAUUAUUGUUGAAAAGGGAAUGAAGGGAACUGUACAGUAACAAUAUCAGGGGGGCCAAUACCUAGUGAGCUGCGCAAUCUAACAAAUUUGGUCAGUUUGCAAUUGGAUCUCUAUUUGAACAGUUUCAACGGUCCAAUUCCGCCAUUCCGGAGUCUUUGGCAGGCUAUCGAAGUUGUGCUUUCUGUUACAUAUGGAUCUGUAAUCAAAUUGGUGCAUGAAAUAACAAAAUUCAGGCUGCAUUCUGGUUGCUCUAUUCCCUAAUAUGGAUGCUGCAUUCUCUUUAGUGUUGCUGCUUCGGUACUGCUACUGUUUAGCUACUGUGAUGCUAUUGUUCUGCUACUGGGCUGCUGCUAUAUAUAUAUUUUUUUCUUUUUUUCUUUCAAGUGUAAAAUUACAGGUUAUUAAUGAAAAUUAUCAGAAGUAUAUUAUGUAUAUCUAUAACAAUCUGGUGAUAAAUUCAGAUGAAAAAAGCAAUUUUUUUUUGUUUGGGCAUUUUUGGCACCGAUUAACCGGUGCCAAAAGUAAUGAAUUAUAUAUUUUUUUAAAAGUGGGUACCUAUUAUUAGCACCGCUUAACCGAUGUCAAUAACAAGUAUUCCCACCGGUUCAAAACCGGUGCGAAUGUUGUACAUU